CGGCGCGCGGCGGCGCUGGGCUGGGGGCGACGUACGGCGAGGCGGGGCCGUCCGCGGUGGUGGCGGCUGCGAGGCUAGUGAGCGUUGGCCACCGGCCGGGGACGGGGCGGGGCGGUGUGCGUCCUGGCUCUUCCUGGCCGCACUAGGCGGGCGCGGGUAGCCGGGCCGGUGCCGUCCGGGAGGCGCAGGCAGGAGCCCGGGCAUUGCGGCUGCGGAGUGGAGAGAACCCGGAGCCCGGCGCCGGGCUAAGCGGUCUCGGGUCUCGGGGGGCAACGCACAGGCUUCAAGGGGUGCUUGGUUGGUCUGUCCCGUCGCUGCGAGGUAUGACUCGUCCUCGCGAGAUUUGUCCACAGGCGGAGCCUGGCAGAGGGUUGACGUCCCGGGCUCCUCAGGAACCAGUGCCCUAAGGACUUGUGUGUGAGGUGGCCUGCUGCCUGGCCCAUCGCCAUGCACACCCUUGUGUUCCUGAGCACACGGCAGGUGCUCCAGUGCCAGUCAGCUGCCUGCCAGGCCCUGCCCCUGCUGCCGAGAGAGCUCUUUCCCUUGCUGUUCAAAGUGGCCUUCAUGGACAAGAAGACCAUCGUGCUGCGCGAGCUGGUGCACACGUGGCCCUUCCCGCUGCUCAGCUUCCAGCAGCUGCUGCAGGAGUGUGCCCACUGCAGCCGGGCCUUGCUGCAGGAGCGACCUAGCACAGAGAGCAUGCAGGCCGUGAUCCUGGGGCUGACUGCCCGGCUCCACACCCCGGAGACGGAGGCUGGCACACAGCCCCUCUGCAGGAAGCACGCACUGCGUGUGCUGGACAUGACGGGCCUCCUGGACGACGGCGUGGAGCAGGACCCUGGCACAAUGAGCAUGUGGGACUGCACGGCAGCUGUGGCCCGCACGUGCAUCGCACAGCAGCAGGGCAGGACUGCAGAGCCUGGGCUGGCCCCGGUUCCCGUGGAGGUGCGUGUGGACCUGCGGGUGAACCGGGCCUCUUAUGCGUUCCUGCGGGAGGCUCUCCGCAGCAGCGUAGGCAGCCCACUGCGACUCUGCUGCCGGGACCUGCGGGCUGAGGACCUGCCCAUGCGCAAUACUGUGGCCCUGCUGCAGCUUCUGGAUGCGGGCUGCCUGCGCCGUGUAGACCUGCGCUUCAACAACUUGGGCCUGCGCGGCCUUUCCGUCAUCAUCCCACACGUGGCCCGCUUCCAGCACCUGGCUAGCUUGCGGCUGCACUAUGUGCACGGGGACUCGAGGCAGCCGUCUGUGGACGGCGAGGACAACUUCCGCUACUUUCUGGCCCAGAUGGGUCGCUUCACCUGUCUCCGGGAACUCAGCAUGGGCUCCUCUCUCCUCUCGGGGCGGCUGGACCAGUUGCUCAGCACUUUGCAGAGCCCUCUGGAGAGCCUGGAGCUGGCCUUCUGUGCCCUGCUGCCUGAAGACCUGCGUUUCCUGGCACGAAGCCCACAUGCUGUCCACCUCAAGAAGUUGGACCUGAGUGGCAACGAUUUAUCCGGCAGCCAGCUGGAACCCUUUCAGGGUCUGCUACAGGCAGCAGCAGCCACGCUACUGCACCUUGAACUAACCGAGUGCCAGCUUGCUGAUACCCAGCUGCUGGCCACACUCCCUGUGCUGACUCGUUGCACCAACCUCCGCUACCUCGGCCUUUAUGGCAACCCGCUGUCCAUGGCAGGCCUCAAGGAGCUCCUGCGGGACUCGGUGGCGCAGGCUGAGCUGCGCACAGUGGUGCACCCUUUCCCUGUGGACUGCUACGAAGGCCUGCCCUGGCCGCCACCUGCUUCUGUCCUGCUGGAAGCCUCCAUCAACGAGGAGAAGUUUGCCCGCGUGGAGGCCGAGUUGCAUCAGCUGCUGCUGGCCUCAGGCCGUGCCCAUGUGCUGUGGACUACAGACAUCUAUGGGCGCCUGGCUGCAGACUACUUUAGCCUGUGACCUCCAGGCUCUGGGUGAGAGGCUGUCCUGGGGUCCAGGGCUGCUGGAGGCCCGUUGCCCCUUGGGUAGGCAAAGCCUUCACUGGGCCUCUGCUGGAAGCCUGACAAAAAGGCACAGUCUGAUUUCUUUGCUCCCGGGAGCACCUCAAGCCUCCCAUGCUUUCUGCAGCACCCUGCACAGUUUGUCCUGCUCCUGCUCCCCCAACGGGCUGAAUAUCUGUGGGCCCGGGGCUGGAUUCCAGGCCUGCAAGGCCCUGCUUGGUUUGGCUGCUCUUGGCUGCCCUUUGGUGUCCUGGUUCUCUCCUUGGAAUGAUCCUGGGGUCUGUGACCUGAGAGAGGAUGUUUUCCUCUGGGCCAUCCCAAGAGCAGACUGCUCUGGGGGGCUGAAGUGGGGCAGGGGCUUGCUUCAACGAGGGCUGGGCCCCCACGCUCUCUGGGGCCGCUUAUUGUUCUCACUGCCCUGAUACCCAGGAGGCCGCCUGUUGGCUGGGUUUUGGGGCCAGGGGGUGUCAUUAAGGUACAAACGUGCAGUGUGUUUAGAACUUAAAUCUGUGGCUAUUUUUUCUGUCCUAAUUGGUCCAAGUGACUUGUCUUCUGCUCUGCUGUCUGUCACUCCUAGCCUGGCUGUCGGGUAACGUCUUCCGGUCUGUUGCCUCUUCCCAUCCCUAGGCUUCUGCACAGUCUGUCGCACCUUCCACCUCGCCGAGGUCCAGGCUCUUCCAGCAGGAGGCGGGGCCGGAGGUGGACGUACCGAGCUGGCGCCCCAUUUAUCCACCGGGAAGGCUCGCACACCCGUCCCUCCACGUCACUGGCACUUGAGGCCCGCAGCCCGGCAACCCACAAGGUGCCCACCUGUGUCCCAGGCGGUAUUCCAGGCGGGAUCACGCGCAGCCGCAGGGCGCCGCACUCCACCGUGGCGCUGUAGCAGCGGCAGGCGGCGGGGCAGCCGACAGCGCAGCGCGGGAGACAGAGUAGCGACAGCAGCAGCAGUGCGGGCGCUCCUGAGUCCAUCUCCCGCGGAACUGGCCGCGGGCCACGAAGCUGCAGCCUUCUCAGCAGCCUCCCUACAGUCUGGCCCCGGAUGGGAUGCACCUCCUGAAACACAAGUUGGCGGGCCUGUCCCUAACAUUCGAGAGCAGUGAAAAGCAUGGUUGGAGGCACACACUGUGUCUUUUCGAAAAGUUUUAAAUCAGUGCCAGAAAUGGAAAAAACGUUCAUUGCCUUCCUACAUAAAAAGUCAUAAAGACCUGGGGCAUCAGA